GCUCCAGGAAAUUAAAAGCUUGCCAAAUAAAGCAGCUCCUGCAAUCCAAAGUCUGGAAUAACCCUUGAUUUUUAAAGAAGACAAAUAGACUAUAACAUUUCAGUUAUGAACCUUUUUCUAUUUUUUAUCAAGGGUUUGAGUUUCUGCAAGUUGGUUUAGAUAGGUAAACGGUAGUGAAUAUUCAAACUGUCUCUCUUGUUCUAUUUACUUCACUAUCUUGAUAUUGGAUACUGCACUAGUAUCAGCUACUACAGUAUCAG
rnacentral:lncRNA from 1 species